rnacentral:rRNA from 1 species
CCUACGGGUGGCAGCAGUAGGGAAUAUUGCUCAAUGGGGGAAACCCUGAAGCAGCAACGCCGCGUGGGGGAAGAAGGUUUUCGGAUUGUAAACUCCUUUUGUUAGGGAAGAUAAUGACGGUAUCUGACGAAUAAGCACCGGCUAACUCCGUGCCAGCAGCCGCGGUAAUACGGAGGGUGCAAGCGUUACUCGGAAUCACUGGGCGUAAAGGGCGCGUAGGCGGGUUAGCAAGUCAGAUGUGAAAUCCGAGGGCUUAACCAUCGAACUGCAUUUGAAACUGUGGUUCUAGAGUUUGGGAGAGGUAGGUGGAAUUCUUGGUGUAGCGGUAAAAUGCGUAGAGAUCAAGAGGAACACUCAUUGCGAAGGCGACCUGCUAGACCAUAACUGACGCUGAUGCGCGAAAGCGUGGGGAGCAAACAGGAUUAGAUACCCUUGUAGUC